rnacentral:ncRNA from 2 species
UUCUUAUCUAGAGAAACUGAGGGACUGGCCCAAUGAAGUUUCAGCAACCAGUGUGUUUCAUUCGCAUGCAUGGUGCU